GAUGAACGCUGGCGGCGUGCCUAAUACAUGCAAGUCGAGCGAAGCGGGGACGGGGGAGUAACACGUGGAGAACAUCCUAUAAGACUGGGAGAACCUCGGGAAACCGGAGCUAAACCGGAGACUUAUAGAUGGAGCCGUGCUGCAUUAGCUAGUUGGGAAGGUAACGGCUUACCCAGGCAACGAUGCUUCGCCGACCUGGGAGGAUGAUCGGCCACACUGGAACUGCGACACGGUCCAGACUCCUACGGGAGGAAGCCGUAGAGAAUCUUCCGCAAUGGGCGAAAGCCUGAGAGAGCCAGGCCGCGUGAGUGAUGAAGGUCUUCGGAUCGUAAAGCUCUGUUAUUGGGGAAGCGGUACCUACUCAGAAAGCCACGGCUAACUACGUGCCAGCAGCCGCGGUAAUUC
rnacentral:rRNA from 1 species